GAAUCGCUGCUUUGCUUCGAAAGGCAUACCCGAAUUGGUCACCCGCUGCUAUAAAAUCUGCUCUAGUGACUACCGCUUAUAACUUGGAUAAUUCCGGCAAAAGCAUUCUCGAUCUUGCUACUGGCAGUGAAUCAACACCCUUUGUUAAUGGAGCUGGUCAUGUGGAUCCCAAUAGAGCCCUUGAUCCUGGACUGGUAUAUGACAUGGACAGCUCCAUUAACAAAGGGUGUUGAUUCCUUGGGUACGAUUCCAAGCGAAUUGCAGUAUUUGUUGGAGAGACUGCAACUUUGGAUGUAUGUGAGCGAAAAUUGGGUAGUCCAGGCAAUCUCAACUAUCCGUCAUUUUCUGUUGUUUUUGAGCCUAAGACAGAUGUGGUUACAUAUAAGAGGGUGAUGAAGAAUGUUGGAAGUUCUGUUGAUGCAGUUUAUAAGGUUAAGGUGAAUGCUCC
rnacentral:misc_RNA from 1 species